UGAGUACGAGACGCUAAGGCGUCGAAGUAGUGGAUGUCAUACUUCCAAGAAAAGCUUGCACUGUCAUAAAUAAAAGACGCCUGUACCAUAACCGACACAGGUGGGUAGGUAGAGUAUACUAAGGGGCGCGAGAUAACUCUCUCUAAGGAACUCGGCAAAAUGACUCCGUAACUUCGGGAGAAGGAGUGCCUUAUUCGUAAGGCUGCAAUAACAAGAUCCAAGCAACUGUUUAUCAAAAACACAGGUCUCCGCUAAGUCGUAAGACGAUGUAUGGGGGCUGACGCCUGCCCAGUGCCAGAAGGUUAAAGAAGUCGGUUAGCAUUAGCGAAGCUGGUAACUGAAGCCCUGGUGAACGGCGGCCGUAACAAUAACGGUCCUAAGGUAGCGAAAUUCCUUGUCGGGUAAGUUCCGACCCGCACGAAAGGCGUAAUGAUUUGGAUACUGUCUCGGAGAGGGGCUCGGUGAAAUAGACUUGUCUGUGAAGAUGCGGACUACCUGCACCAGGACAGAAAGACCCUAUGAAGCUUUACUGUAACUUGAAAUUGAAAUUGGACUUUAUUCGCGCAGUAUAGGUGGGAGGUGUUGAUUAUAAUCUUGCGGGAUUAUUGGAGCCAUCAGUGAGAUACCACUCUUGUAAUGUUAGAUUUCUAACUUUGAAUCAUUAUCUGGUCAAAGAACAGUUUCAGGCGGGCAGUUUGACUGGGGCGGUCGCCUCCUAAAUGGUAACGGAGGCGUACAAAGGUUCCCUCUGAACGGGUAGAAAUCGUAUCUAGAGUGUAAAGGCAUAAGGAAGCUUGACUGUGAGACCUACAAGUCGAGCAGGGACGAAAGUCGGUCUUAGUGAUCUGACGGUACUGAGUGGAAAGGCCGUCACUCAACGGAUAAAAGUUACUCUAGGAUAACAGGCUGAUCUCCCCCAAGAGUUCACAUCGACGGGGAGGUUUGGCACCUCGAUGUCGGCUCAUCGCAUCCUGGGGCGGUAGUACGUCCCAAGGGUUGGGCUGUUCGCCCAUGAAAGCGGUACGCGAGCUGGGUUCAGAACGUCGUGAGACAGUUCGGUCCAUAUCCGGUGUAGGCGUUAGAAUAUUGAGAGGAGCCUUCUUUAGUACGAGAGGACCGAGAAGGACAUACCUCUGGUGUAUCAGUUAUCGUGCCAACGGUAAACGCUGGGUAGCUAUGUAUGGAGUGGAUAACCGCUGAAAGCAUCUAAGUGGGAAGCCCACCUCAAGAUAAGUAUUCUC
rnacentral:rRNA from 1 species